GCCUACGGCCAUGCUACCCUGAACAAGCCCGAUCCCAUCUGAUCUCAGAAGCUAAGCAGGGUCGGGCCUGGUUAGUACUUGGAUGGGAGACCACCUAGGAAGACCAGGUGCUAUAGGCA
rnacentral:rRNA from 1 species